AACCUGAGCAACCCUAUUUAAGCGUUACAGUGCAAAAGGUGGUGAAGCAGCCUACCCUUCUCAGGAAGGGCUUUUAGGAAAUUAGAGAAUCGAACGGGUGGAGGUGUGGGUAUAAUCUAUUUGACCCCACUUUGGAAGGAGGAAAAUUCUCUUUACGUUGAGGCCACGGAACCGGCCAAUGAAGACAUGGAUUAGAUACCCAUUUAUUACCGACGCAAACUUUGCUUUUAGGCAGCUACUUGAGGACUACGAGCGUGUGCUUAAAACUCAAAGAACUUGGCGGCUCGUUAACUACCCAGGGGAACAUGCGCCUUAAUCCGAUGAUCCACGAUAAAUCUUACUGUGCCUCGAAGAAGUACAGCUGGUGUAUUGCCGUUUUCAGCUUGUUGUUCGAGCAAAGAGAAACAGGCCCAACGGAGCCGGUGAUUAAUUUUGCUGGUAGCCAUGAAUUCAGGUCGUAAUACUGCCAAUGGCACAGGGAGCGGGUGUUACAAUUCUGAACUUAGAAAUACGGAUCCUUGGGUGAAAUCCCUUGGUGAAGGUGAACUUGGGAGUAAGGGGGGAUUAAUAAGCUCUCCUGAACGUGAAACUAACUUGUGUACAAACUGCCCGUCGCUCUCGGCGUGAGCUGA
rnacentral:rRNA from 1 species